rnacentral:rRNA from 1 species
GACCUCAGAUCAGGCAAGGCCACCCGCUGAAUUUAAGCAUAUCA